UAGAGAGAAAAAUAACGGUGGAAAAGCUACAGCAAAAUCAAUUUGGAGAGCAAAAGAGUGAAGAAACAGACAUCGAAAUUGAGUAAGAUUUUCAAUAAAAAAUGGCAUCAACCUAUGGAAACUUUACUGGAAGAACUCUUCUAGAACUGAGUCAACAAGAGGUGCAAGACAUGAUGCAAAAUCUAAUUAGUGAAUGUAACGCCGAGAUACAACAAAUAGAUGUUUCCCAAAGUCAUCAAUAAGAUCCUAGAAGACCUGUUGAAGAAUUAGAAAGGGAC